rnacentral:rRNA from 1 species
AACGAACGCUGGCGGCAGGCUUAACACAUGCAAGUCGAACGCCCCGCAAGGGGAGUGGCAGACGGGUGAGUAACGCGUGGGGACAUACCCUUUUCUACGGAAUAGCUCUGGGAAACUGGAAUUAAUACCGUAUACGCCCUACGGGGGAAAGAUUUAUCGGGGAAGGAUUGGCCCGCGUUGGAUUAGCUAGUUGGUGGGGUAAAGGCCUACCAAGGCGACGAUCCAUAGCUGGUCUGAGAGGAUGAUCAGCCACAUUGGGACUGAGACACGGCCCAAACUCCUACGGGAGGCAGCAGUGGGGAAUAUUGGACAAUGGGCGCAAGCCUGAUCCAGCCAUGCCGCGUGAGUGAUGAAGGCCUUAGGGUUGUAAAGCUCUUUCACCGAUGAAGAUAAUGACGGUAGUCGGAGAAGAAGCCCCGGCCAACUUCGUG